GUCCUCCUGUAGUUCCUGAGGGUGACGACGGGGUGUUCGUGCACGUGUGACAUGUGCCACCCUCGAACCUCAUUACAUCAGCACAUCACCCACUGACC
rnacentral:snoRNA from 1 species